rnacentral:rRNA from 1 species
GAUGAACGCUGGCGGCGUGCCUAAUACAUGCAAGUCGAGCGAAGCGGGGACGGGUGAGUAACACGUGGAUAACAUCCUAUACGACUGGGCUAACUUCGGGAAACCGGAGCUAAACCGGAUACUUAAAGAUGGCUCCGCGCUGCAUUAGCUAGUUGGGAAGGAAACGGCUUACCAAGGCAACGCUGCAUAGCCUACCUGAGAGGUGGAUUCGCCACACUGGAACUGAGACACGGUCCGGACUCCUACGGGAGGCAGCAGUAGGGAAUCGUCCGCAUUGGGCGAAAGCCUGACGGAGAAAGGCCGCGGGAGUGAUGAAGGUCUUGGGAUCGGAAAACUCUGUGAUAAAGGAAGCGGUACCUAAUCAGAAAGCCACGGCUAACUACGUGCCAGCCGCCGCGGUAAUUC